rnacentral:tRNA from 1 species
GGGCCUAUAGCUCAGUUGGUUAGAGCGCACGCCUGAUAAGCGUGAGGUCGAUGGUUCAAAUCCAUCUAGGCCCA